rnacentral:rRNA from 1 species
GAUGAACGCUGGCGGCGUGCCUAAUACAUGAAAGUCGAGAGAAUGGAUUAAGAUCUUGCUCUUAUGAAGUGAGCGGCGAACGGGUGAGGAACAAGUGGGUAACAUGCCCAUAAGACUGGGAGAACUUAGGGAAAACGGGGCUAAUACCGGAUAACAUUUUGAACAGCAUGGUCCGAAAUUGAAAGGGUGCUAAGGCUGUCACUAAUGGAUGGACCCGCGUCGCAUUAGCUAGUUGGUGAGGUACCGGCUCCCCAAGGCAACGAUGCGUAGCCGACCUGAGAGGGUGAUCGGCCACACUGGGACUGAGAAACGGCCCAGACUCCUACGGAAGGCAGCAGUAGGGAAUCUUCCGCAAUGGACGCAAGUCUGACGGAGCAACGCCGCGUGAGUGAUGAAGGCUUUCGGGUCGUAAAACUCUGUUGUGAGGGAAGAACAAGUGCUAGUUGAAUAAGCUGGCACCUUAACGGUACCUAACCAGAAAGCCACGGCUAACUACGUGCCAGCAGCCGCGGUAA